UGAUACCCCAUCGCCCAAAAUGAGGAUGCCGCAACCUCUCUAGCUGCACCAAAAAAUUUCGCUCGUCAAAAUAAUUCCGCACCUCAGAUAUAUUUUCUUCUUUUCCCCCACUCUCACUCGUCCUCAUCAACUCAAUCCCCCUCUUCUCUCCAUCUCAACCCUAGCCGCCACCGCCGCGGCAACCGCCGUUGACAAGCUGCAUCCGCGAGGUAGUUUAAAGCUUAACACGAGGUGGGUCAGGAGACGGCGGCAGCGCCUCCACGCGCUCGUGCAGGAGCGCCCGCGCCUAGGGUUUGGGUGAAGGCCACGACGGCUACGCGACCAGUGUGGUAACCAGAUGGGUGCCAGGUUCUCGGAGUGAUCUACGGGCCUGCGCCGCCGACCCCGACCUCUUCCUCCUCCUCGCCGGUCCCCUGCCUCACCGUUCGCUUCGGUCUGUCGGGCUUCGAGUCCUCUGACCGUGACCGGGACUGCUGCGAGGACGUAGCGGCUGCGCUCUCCUUCGUCCUGCUGCGCUGCCAAGCGUGCCUUCCCAGAUCUCGCCCAGCGGAGACAAGGUCAUGUCUGUCAUCAGUAUCACACGUGGAUGUUGAACUCCCAGUGGCCAGUCCCAUAGUGGCAGUAGGGAUAAAGUGGAUCUUGGUUGCAGAUCAGGGUACGCAAGGAUGUUAGAUUUUAUUUUCUGUUUUACAUUUAUUUUGGAUCCCAAUUUUUGAUGGUUUACUGCUGAACUGAUGAUGGGAGUAAAGCUUGAGUUCUGUGAUCUGCUCGUGGAGAAAUCAUCCAUCCAGAUUGCAUCGUUUGUCAACCUGGAGGUUUGUGAUUUCCUUAGGCUAGGUAUAUUAAUUCAGCAUACAUCAUAUGGUAGCUUUUGGGGGGUUUGUGUUGCUGAUAAGUCCAUGACACAACUAAUUGUCCCUGCUAUUUUAUUUUUUUAAAUGACAAUUCAGAUUUUUCCUUCACAUUGAUUUGUCUUGAUUUAGAUAACUCUAGAGCUUCGCUGUGUGUUCAUGGUUUUAUGAAGUUUGUGGAUAUAGGCAUAGGGUGAAACCAAAGUCAUAGCUUGUUUCAUUUUAUAAUAUUAACUGCUUGGAUUCAGAUUAUCGUAAACUUUGGUUCUGUACCAAAUGAACAUCAGGCAGUCUUCUGAUAUUGUGCCAAAUAAAUUAUGUUUUUAGGUACAACUAGGCUAGAUCAUUGAGCAAUUCUAGUUUUCAGCAGUACAAUACAGUAUCCGAUGAAUAGCUUGCUUUACUUUUUCAGUCCAUUGAGAUUUUAGUAGUAUCGUAGUACCAUAUGUCACCAAAAAGUGGUGCUGAAAGACUAGCAUUUUGUAUAUUAAAAUUUGUAGUCAUCUUUUACCAUUCCUGUUGGUAAAGACUGGCAUUUUAUUCAUUUUUCAGAACAAUGUCAUGUUGGUAAAGCCUAUCAUGGGACUACAUUCAAUUUUGAUCCCUUGUAUUGAAAUUAUCUCGAUAUUGUUUAGUCCUAAUUUUGUUUCACAACAAAUAUAGGAAAUUGGUGUGCAUCUUAAUCUCACAGCUCUCCUUCUAUAAACUUUACCACCGAAUCAUCAGUAACAAGAGGCUCCCUACUGGAACUUACUAUUGUACCUUAGUUUAAUUUUGUAGUCAAUGCAGGUAGUGUUUCUUAAUUUGCAUGAUUCUAUAUUCAUUCAUGUAACUCAGGGACAUCAAGCACACUAUUCUGGCAUGCUGGCAUAGGGUGAAACCAAAGUCAUAGCUUGUUUCUUACUAUUGUUGCUUGUGAUUUUUUAUGCAUUGUUUCACUGAUCAGGUUUUGGGCUUUGGUCAAUGGCGACGACAGCCCCGUCUAAGUUGAUGCAGGCCAUGGUUCCUGUGCGUCCCCAUGUGCUAAUUCUCUCUUGGUUGCCAUACACAUGCUUCAUAAUUUCAUUUCACUUUGAACUGAGAGUCAAUAUGAAAGCUUUGAGAGCAGAACCUGUUGGUGAAGGUGAGACAGAAGUAUCUAGUGUGCAGGUUGUGUCCCAAGUGCUCUCUAAAAAUAGCUCCCUCAAGAGUGUUGGCAUCAAACCGGUGUCAUCCUCUAAAUCAUCUGCAUCAAAUUAAAGUGAGCUUCGGGAGCAACUAGGAGCUGAAGCUAAGGCUGUUGUACGAGUUGAGCUCGACGAUCUCAAGAGGAGAAGUGAAAAAGUAGAGGAACGGCUCGCGAGGACACAAACGGAGAUGGAGGAGAUAAAGAAGCUGGCAGAGAUGAACAACAAGGCAAUGGAGGAGGACAACGCGCUGCUCAAGCGUAUCUUGUCCAUCAACAAUGCUUCUUCGACAUGAGAGCUGCUUAGCUGCUGGUAGUAGGACUGACUAGGAACUGUAGCUACUUGUGCCUGGCAUCCUGCUGAUUUAGAUUUUGGAAUGACUUGUGUUCUCGUGCUUUGCAAAUGUUCUAUUUAAACCAAGUGUGUGUGGUGAACUAACUUUAGCAGUAAUAAUUAAGUUAUGAGUAAUGGAUCCUUAGUUUUAUGCAUACUUUCGGUCAAUUCAAUAUUUCUUGCAUUUCGAAAUGAAA